rnacentral:rRNA from 1 species
GGUUAAGCGACUAAGCGUACACGGUGGAUGCCCUGGCAGUCAGAGGCGAUGAAGGACGUGCUAAUCUGCGAUAAGCGUCGGUAAGGUGAUAUGAACCGUUAUAACCGGCGAUUUCCGAAUGGGGAAACCCAGUGUGAUUCGUCACACUAUCAUUAACUGAAUCCAUAGGUUAAUGAGGCGAACCGGGGGAACUGAAACAUCUAAGUACCCCGAGGAAAAGAAAUCAACCGAGAUUCCCCCAGUAGCGGCGAGCGAACGGGGAGGAGCCCAGAGCCUGAAUCAGUGUGUGUGUUAGUGGAAGCGUCUGGAAAGGCGCGCGAUACAGGGUGACAGCCCCGUACACAAAAAUGCACAUGCUGUGAGCUCGAUGAGUAGGGCGGGACACGUGGUAUCCUGUCUGAAUAUGGGGGGACCAUCCUCCAAGGCUAAAUACUCCUGACUGACCGAUAGUGAACCAGUACCGUGAGGGAAAGGCGAAAAGAACCCCGGCGAGGGGAGUGAAAAAGAACCUGAAACCGUGUACGUACAAGCAGUGGGAGCACAGAGCAAUCUGUGUGACUGCGUACCUUUUGUAUAAUGGGUCAGCGACUUAUAUUCUGUAGCAAGGUUAACCGAAUAGGGGAGCCGAAGGGAAACCGAGUCUUAACUGGGCGUUAAGUUGCAGGGUAUAGACCCGAAACCCGGUGAUCUAGCCAUGGGCAGGUUGAAGGUUGGGUAACACUAACUGGAGGACCGAACCGACUAAUGUUGAAAAAUUAGCGGAUGACUUGUGGCUGGGGGUGAAAGGCCAAUCAAACCGGGAGAUAGCUGGUUCUCCCCGAAAGCUAUUUAGGUAGCGCCUCGUGAAUUCAUCUCCGGGGGUAGAGCACUGUUUCGGCAAGGGGGUCAUCCCGACUUACCAACCCGAUGCAAACUGCGAAUACCGGAGAAUGUUAUCACGGGAGACACACGGCGGGUGCUAACGUCCGUCGUGAAGAGGGAAACAACCCAGACCGCCAGCUAAGGUCCCAAAGUCAUGGUUAAGUGGGAAACGAUGUGGGAAGGCCCAGACAGCCAGGAUGUUGGCUUAGAAGCAGCCAUCAUUUAAAGAAAGCGUAAUAGCUCACUGGUCGAGUCGGCCUGCGCGGAAGAUGUAACGGGGCUAAACCAUGCACCGAAGCUGCGGCAGCGACACUAUGUGUUGUUGGGUAGGGGAGCGUUCUGUAAGCCUGUGAAGGUGUACUGUGAGGUAUGCUGGAGGUAUCAGAAGUGCGAAUGCUGACAUAAGUAACGAUAAAGCGGGUGAAAAGCCCGCUCGCCGGAAGACCAAGGGUUCCUGUCCAACGUUAAUCGGGGCAGGGUGAGUCGACCCCUAAGGCGAGGCCGAAAGGCGUAGUCGAUGGGAAACAGGUUAAUAUUCCUGUACUUGGUGUUACUGCGAAGGGGGGACGGAGAAGGCUAUGUUGGCCGGG